AUUGAACGCUGGCGGCAUGCCUAACACAUGCAAGUCGAACGGUAGCAGGUCCUUCGGGAUGCUGACGAGUGGCGGACGGGUGCGUAACGCGUGGGAAUCUGCCCAAUAGUGGGGGAUAACCCGGGGAAACCCGGGCUAAUACCGCAUACUCCCUACGGGGGAAAGCGGGGGACCGAAAGGCCUCGCGCUAUUGGAUGAGCCCGCGUCCGAUUAGCUUGUUGGUGGGGUAAAGGCCUACCAAGGCGACGAUCGGUAGCUGGUCUGAGAGGACGACCAGCCACACUGGGACUGAGACACGGCCCAGACUCCUACGGGAGGCAGCAGUGGGGAAUAUUGGACAAUGGGGGAAACCCUGAUCCAGCAAUGCCGCGUGUGUGAAGAAGGCCUGCGGGUUGUAAAGCACUUUCGGCAGGAAAGAAAAGCCAUGCGCUAAUACCGCAUGACCUUGACGUUACCUGCAAAAGAAGCACCGGCUAACUCCGUG
rnacentral:rRNA from 1 species